UCAGAUGAAGAAAUCAGAAAGACAGAGUAAGACUUUUGAAGGAAACAAACACCAAACGCUGACCUCAGACUACGAGGUGGGUCCUCCUGAGA